rnacentral:lncRNA from 1 species
UCGGCAUUGUGGUCGUUCUGCAGUAGGAGCGCUGCUGAUUUGGUGUCAUCUUUUCUGGCAGCAAUGUGCAAAGCUGGUAAUCUCACUUUCCCCUUGGUGUCAUUUUCCAGCAGGAUAGCCACUGCUUGAUUGUGUCCUUGUUGCAAAGCAACAGCUAAAGGAGUGAAACCAUCCUCAGUAGCUGUGCUUUGGUUGGCUCCAUUCUCCAGGAGAUAUUUCACCACUUCAAUAUGAUUCUCUUGAGCUGCCAUAUAUAAUGGAGUGAAACCAUUCUGAGACUGUGCAUUAAUAUUGGCUCCUUCCUUAACCAAAACUUUGACAACUUCAGCUUGUCCUGCUAAGGAUGCAAUGUGUAGGGCGGUAUUCCCUUUCUUAGUGGCAGAAUCCACAGCCGACCCUCUUUCCAGUAAUUCUUGUACCAGUCCCACAUGGCCUUCUUUAGCCGCCAGGUGCAGAGCAUUGAGCCCAUUCUGAUUACAUGUGUUAAUGUCUAUUCCGCUUUUCAGGUAUUCCACUACUUUGUCCAA